CAUUUUUAUAAAUAUUUUACAUUUUUUAAUCGUUCACGCUUUAUAGAAAUGUUGGGGGUGUAAUGUUAUAGACGCUAUAUAGUUGUCCUUAUCUUGCAAUAUUUUUCGCAGCUACUAAAAGGUUGGCUUUGAAGUGAACAAAAUAAUAAAUACAUUUUUUGUCACAUACGAUAUCUUGACAAAACCAGAUACAUAGACAUGUUCAAAUAAACCCGCUAAUGGGUAUCUGAAUGGACCCUUAAGGAAUUAUUAGCAAUAUAGAUAGCUAAAAUGGCAAUAGAAUAUAAAACAAUGAUGUAUUUUAGAAUAAUGCCAACAUACAGUAAGUAUAGCGAAUAAUCUGUAAAAUACAGGAAUUUGAAAAGUGUUAUAGCAAGCAACCUCUGAGUGACAUCCGAGUCCUCCCUAAAUCUCCCUUGGUUAUUACAAUACAGCUAUAAUGUUUUCUUCCUUGAGGCUUACUUUACUGUUGGAGUUGGAAGUGGGGGGCUGUCACUUUGAACUUUUGCAGAGUUUCAAAGGACAAAAUAGACCCUUGGCUGAGCAAAUCAUUCCCCUCAGGGUGAAACCAUUCCAGGAGAAUUAAAACGUAAGUGGUGCUUUGUGACCGUAACUGUAGUGCAAAAUAAAAAUAAAUACAAAGUAUACAUAGUUUUAGUGUACCUAGUGAAAGAUUUAAAACCAUGAAACAUAUAACUGCUAAAAGUAUUGUAGACUUUUUUUUAAAUUGACCAGUUCACUUUAGAACAAAUGUAUAUAGAUAUAAGAAAGAUAAUUGCCUAUUUUUAAAAUUUUCACUCUUCAUUGACCUCACUCGUCAGGAUUAAGGUCAAUAAUAAAUGCUAUUGUUCGGCUUACGUUUCUAUUCAUUUAUCUCAUUAAAAUUGUGCAUUUCACCAACAACACAAUCAUACUCCAACUGGCUUAUCAUCUGAAACUAGCGACUGCAAUCCAUAUCACUGCGUCCUUUUCCUGUCCUUCUAUUGCACCCAUCUCAAACUCUCAUUCUUAGGACUUCCCUUGGGCUGACCCAUUUUUAUGAACUACCUCAUCUUGUUCCAUAGACUCUCCUCCUACUGUCCAACUUAAAAACAAUCCUUAGAGAAUGACUUCUUUAGACCAAAAUAUUAAUUUAUGAAGUAUUUAUUUCCCUAUUGCAUUGUACUCUUGUCUAGUCUCGCAUCAUUUGGCCUCAGACUGUAUCAUUGCCAUACUCUACAACUGCUGGAUAUCAUAACUUAAAUAAAGUACAUACCUAGACAGAAAUUGUAAACGUGGCUCUCUAUUCAGUGCAUAGUCCUCCAUAACUGUGAAGUAUAUUUAUCUAGUAAAUUCCAUCUCAGUCUGUCUACUCUGUUAAUGACCGUUUCCAGUUCUCUGCUUCUUGCCAGCUCCAAAUCUCCCUCUCUCUCUCUUAUACAAUGUUCUCAAAUUUUCUCUUUUAAUACUGAAGAUAAAAACCCUUUACUGAAGACCUUGGUGGCCUCAGACCAUUUGCUACAGGGGUGUCAUUUAUCUAUG